ACAUCACUAAAAACAGAGUUUGUUUCCUCUAGCAGGCACACACAGGCCGGGGCCCGUGGUGUUUCCACGGCCUGCUAAAGCAACUAAGGUAUAGUAUUCAAGGGUGGGAGAUCUACCCGUGAGGGCAUGAACUCUGUAAUGAUCCUUCCGCAGGUUCACCUACGGAAACCUUGUUACGACUUUUACUUCCUCUAAAUGACCAAGA
rnacentral:misc_RNA from 1 species